UACGUAGGGUGCGAGCGUUAAUCGGAAUUACUGGGCGUAAAGUGUGCGCAGGUGGCCGCGCAAGUCGAGUGUGAAAUCCCCGGGCUCAACCUGGGAAUUGCGAUGGAGACUGCAAGGCUAGAAUCUGGCAGAGGGGGGUAGAAUUCCACGUGUAGCAGUGAAAUGCGUAGAGAUGUGGAGGAACACCGAUGGCGAAGGCAGCCCCCUGGGUCAAGAUUGACGCUCAUGCACGAAAGCGUGGGGAGCAAACAGG
rnacentral:rRNA from 1 species